AUUGUCAUACCGGUUCUCGUUAGAUCACCGAAGUCAAGCAUCAUUGGGCGCGGUCAGUACUUGGGUGGGUGACCACCUGGGAACACCGCGUGCUGUU
rnacentral:rRNA from 1 species